rnacentral:rRNA from 1 species
GGAUGAACGCUGGCGGCGUGCUUAACACAUGCAAGUCGAACGAUGAAAGCGGGAGCUUGCUCCUGCUGGAUUAGUGGCGAACGGGUGAGUAACACGUGAGUAACCUGCCCUUGACUCUGGGAUAAGCGUUGGAAACGACGUCUAAUACCGGAUACGACCUUCGGAGGCAUCUCCUGGGGGUGGAAAGAAUUUCGGUCAAGGAUGGACUCGCGGCCUAUCAGCUAGUUGGUGAGGUAAUGGCUUACCAAGGCGACGACGGGUAGCCGGCCUGAGAGGGUGACCGGCCACACUGGGACUGAGACACGGCCCAGACUCCUACGGGAGGCAGCAGUGGGGAAUAUUGCACAAUGGGCGCAAGCCUGAUGCAGCAACGCCGCGUGAGGGACGACGGCCUUCGGGUUGUAAACCUCUUUUAGUAGGGAAGAAGCGAAAGUGACGGUACCUGCAGAAAAAGCACCGGCUAACUACGUGCCAGCAGCCGCGGUAAUACGUAGGGUGCAAGCGUUAUCCGGAAUUAUUGGGCGUAAAGAGCUCGUAGGCGGUUUGUCACGUCUGCUGUGAAAACUGGAGGCUCAACCUCCAGCCUGCAGUGGGUACGGGCAGACUAGAGUGCGGUAGGGGAGAUUGGAAUUCCUGGUGUAGCGGUGGAAUGCGCAGAUAUCAGGAGGAACACCGAUGGCGAAGGCAGAUCUCUGGGCCGUAACUGACGCUGAGGAGCGAAAGCAUGGGGAGCGAACAGGAUUAGAUACCCUGGUAGUCCAUGCCGUAAACGUUGGGAACUAGAUGUAGGGACCAUUCCACGGUUUCUGUGUCGCAGCUAACGCAUUAAGUUCCCCGCCUGGGGAGUACGGCCGCAAGGCUAAAACUCAAAGGAAUUGACGGGGGCCCGCACAAGCGGCGGAGCAUGCGGAUUAAUUCGAUGCAACGCGAAGAACCUUACCAAGGCUUGACAUAUACCGGAAAAGUUCAGAAAUGUUCUCCCCGCAAGGUCGGUAUACAGGUGGUGCAUGGUUGUCGUCAGCUCGUGUCGUGAGAUGUUGGGUUAAGUCCCGCAACGAGCGCAACCCUCGUUCUAUGUUGCCAGCACGUAAUGGUGGGAACUCAUAGGAGACUGCCGGGGUCAACUCGGAGGAAGGUGGGGAUGACGUCAAAUCAUCAUGCCCCUUAUGUCUUGGGCUUCACGCAUGCUACAAUGGCCGAUACAAAGGGCUGCAAUACCGCGAGGUGGAGCGAAUCCCAAAAAGUCGGUCUCAGUUCGGAUUGAGGUCUGCAACUCGACCUCAUGAAGUCGGAGUCGCUAGUAAUCGCAGAUCAGCAACGCUGCGGUGAAUACGUUCCCGGGCCU